GACAGAGGGUGCAAACGUUGUUCGGAAUUACUGGGCGUAAAGCGUACGUAGGCGGUCCAGCAAGUCGGGUAUGAAAGCCCUCGGCUUAACCGAGGAAGUGCAUUCGAAACUACUGGACUUGAAUACUGGAGAGGAUCGCGGAAUUCCCGGUGUAGAGGUGAAAUUCGUAGAUAUCGGGAGGAACACCAGUGGCGAAGGCGGCGAUCUGGACAGAUAUUGACGCUGAUGUACGAAAGCGUGGGGAGCAAACAGG
rnacentral:rRNA from 1 species